AAGUCGUAACAAGGUUUCCGUAGGUGAACCUGCGGAAGGAUCAUUAACACGUAUCCGCGCGGUCACGAUCGUUGGAGGCCCACACGGCCGACGACCGGGUCACUGGGCGCAAGCCCCCCUAUAACAAACGCUGCUAAUCGCGGCCGCGAUAAUACGCAGUCGACCAAAAACCGAACAACUGUUAACAAUGGAUAUCUUGGUUCUC
rnacentral:misc_RNA from 1 species